AGCAAUUCUCCUGCCUCAGCCUCCCACGUUGCUGGGAUUACAGGUGAAGCGUAUGCCCUGUGAGCUUAGGGGUGCUACAGUUGACCACUGCCACAGUAAAGAUGACUCUGAAGAAUGGCAUGGGAUGGAUCCUUUCGAAUGCACUUGAGCAGCGGUCUCCAACCAAAGGGCCAUAGAACCGGAGCUGGAUCUACCAUGAAAGACUUCUGAAUCCAGGAAGAGAGACUGACUGGGCAACAUGUUAUUCAGGAGAUGAGGUCUCACCCUGUCACCCAGGCUGGAGUACAGUAGUACUAUCACAACUCACUGCAGUCUUGAGCUCCUGGGCUAAGGAUCCUCCUGCCUGAGCCUCCUGAGUAGCUGGGACUAUAGGUAUACAUGACGACACUUGGCUAAUUUUUAAAUUGUUUUGUGGACAUGGGGUCUCACUUUGUUGGCCUGGCUGGUGUCAAACUUCUGGCCUUAAGUAACCCUUUCACCCCUGCCUCCCAUCCUAGAGGUAUGAGCUGCCACAACGAGCACUUGUUCAAUUUCUAAACAAAAAAACAUUUCUAAAGUAAGGCUGUAGGAUGAUGGCAGGAAGAUAAAAAUAGAAAAACAGAAGAAUAAGUUCAGAUGACUUACACAUAUUCUUUUGACAGCAAGAAGAACUUUUAGUAUAUACAUUCCUUGCAAACAAACAUAAGGCAAAUAAACAGUGUUGUAUAGGAACGUCAACACACACUACAAUAUUCCCACUUUGCUGACAUGAGUUAUGGAAAUUUUGUGGUUUACUUGAGUAUCGCUAUCAGUAUUUUGCUUCUCUGAUCAUUUUUAUGAACUUCCUCAUCUGUUAACUUCUCUCCAAGGUAUGUCAUAUCGUGACAUACUGCUGCUGCACAAACAUGGCCAGUGUCUUCCUCUUAAACAUGUUGAAUGCUUUCUUAAUUUCUUUUACCCUCUGUCUCUGUGUUUUGCAUUUUUCUUACCUUUAUUGUCAGAAACUCGAGAAAGUCAGUCAUACUAAUUUAUCGC